UACGGAGGGUGCAAGCGUUAUCCGGAUUCACUGGGUUUAAAGGGUGCGUAGGCGGGUAGGUAAGUCAGUGGUGAAAUCUUCGAGCUUAACUCGGAAACUGCCUUUGAUACUAUCUAUCUUGAAUAUUGUGGAGGUAAGCGGAAUAUGUCAUGUAGCGGUGAAAUGCUUAGAUAUGACAUAGAACACCUAUUGCGAAGGCAGCUUACUACGCAUAUAUUGACGCUGAGGCACGAAAGCGUGGGGGAGUCAAAACAGGA
rnacentral:rRNA from 1 species